UGAGGAAUAUUGCGCAAUGGGCGAAAGCCUGACGCAGCGACGCCGCGUGGGGAUGAAGUCUUCGGAUUGUAAACCCUUCGGUAGGGAAGGACGCCUUAGACAACUAAGGCGGACGGUACCUCCAGAAGCAGCCACGGCUAACUUCGUGCCAGCAGCCGCGGUAAUACGAAGGUGGCAAGCGUUGUUCGGAUUUACUGGGCGUAAAGGGAGCGUAGGUGGUUAGGUAAGCCCUCCGGGAAAUCUUCAGGCUUAACCUGAAAAGGUCGGGGGGGACUGCCUAGCUAGAGGGCGGGAGAGGAGCGCGGAAUUCCCGGUGUAGCGGUGAAAUGCGUAGAGAUCGGGAGGAAGGCCGGUGGCGAAGGCGGCGCUCUGGAACGUUUCUGAUACUGAGGCUCGAAAGCGUGGGGGAGCAAACA
rnacentral:rRNA from 1 species